GAUGAAGAACGCAGCGAAAUGCGAUAAGUAAUGUGAAUUGCAGAAUUCCGUGAAUCAUCGAAUCUUUGAACGCACAUUGCGCCCUCUGGUAUUCCGGGGGGCAUGCCUGUCCGAGCGUCAUUUCAACCCUCAAGCCUUAGUUGCUUGGUGUUGGGAGCUUAUCUUGCCGAAAGGCGGACAACUCCUUAAAACUAUUGGCGGAGUCGCGGUGACCCCAAGCGUAGUAAAUCUUUUUUUUCUCGCUUUAGGUGUUAACGCUGGCUUUCUAGCCGUUAAACCCUCUAAAUUUUUAGUGGUUGACCUCGGAUCAGGUAGGACUACCCGCUGAACUUAAGCAUAUCAAUAAGCGGAGGA
rnacentral:misc_RNA from 1 species